AGUGAACGCUGGCGGUAGGCCUAACACAUGCAAGUCGAACGGCAGCACAGGAGAGCUUGCUCUCUGGGUGGCGAGUGGCGGACGGGUGAGGAAUACAUCGGAAUCUACCUUUUCGUGGGGGAUAACGUAGGGAAACUUACGCUAAUACCGCAUACGACCUAUGGGUGAAAGUGGGGGACCGCAAGGCCUCACGCGAUUAG
rnacentral:rRNA from 1 species